UGCAUUUUUUGGUAAGACGAUGUUACCAAAAGUUGUUCGUCUUGAUGAGGGCUACAACUUUUCUUAAUAUCCUUUUAACAAAUUAUGCGUAUUUAAGAAGAUAGGUCUGCGCAUGCGCAGAACGUAACUCCUUACGCUUGCAUUUUUUGGUAAGACGAUGUUAACAAAAGUUGUUCGUCUUGAUGAGGGCUACAACUUUGCUUAAUAUCCUUUUAACAAAUUAUGCG
rnacentral:miRNA from 1 species